UGCUCAUCCAGAGGGACUGAGGGAACGGCCCUGAGAAGUCCCGGCAACCGCCGCGAACUCCCGUCAGCGCCUGCAUCACGCAGGAGCCGGCGUCGCGGAAACGGUGCCAAAUCCGACCCGUGCGAGAGCCGCCGGGACAGAUGAGAA
rnacentral:ncRNA from 1 species